ACAGAGACAGAUGACAGCUUGUUGACAGCUGACAGAAACUGCAAUAACGGAUGACUGAGCAUUCAAGUGUCAUUGAAAUCUUCUUGGAGACAGAAAAGCUGCUGUGAACUAUGAAGAAGACAGUCCCAGAUAUGGAGGCACAAUCAUAUUGCUGUGGUUUCUUACCUGGAGGGACUCACCCAUCCCAAGAUACUGUAAAUUUCAGGAGGA